rnacentral:misc_RNA from 1 species
AAACAAUAACAAGGGAGUGAACCAAAUACUAAUUAUCACAAUUCAAGACAAUCUUGAAAAAAGUAAAAAACAAUUAAUAUAAUGCCAAAAAUGGAAUUAACUUUCUUUUUUUGGUCAAAGAGGAAAAAAUUAAUCUUUCAGAGCCACCUGCCGCCGCAAUAGCCAUCUUCCUGGCUAUAUUCCCUUGUAAAGUGUCCCUCUUCGCCGCAUUUGUAGCAUCUCGCUAUUCCUCCACCGCCUCCCUGGCUACAUUCCCUUGCGAAAGAAGGAGGGGGCUGCUACAAAUGUGGGGAAGAAGGGCAUUUUGGAAGGGAUUGUAGGCAGAGAGAUGACUAUGGGAGGGGCGGAGGUGGCUCUUUAGAUUAAUAUUUCUUCUUUGACCAAAAAAAGAAAAUUAAUUUGAUUUUUCGCAUUGUAUUAAAUGUUUUUACUUUUUUCAAGAUUGUCAAGAAUCAUGACAAUUAAUA